rnacentral:rRNA from 1 species
CAAGGGUUUGGCUGUUCGCCAAUUAAAGCGGUACGUGAGCUGGGUUUAAAACGUCGUGAGACAGUUUGGUCCUUAUCUGUUGCGGGCGUAGGAUAUUUGCGGAGAGCUGUCCCUAGUACGAGAGGACCGGGAUGGACGAACCGCUAGUGUUCCAGUUGUCGCGCCAGCGGCAUUGCUGGGUAGCUAUGUUCGGAAGGGAUAACCGCUGAAAGCAUCUAAGCGGGAAGCCCACUCCAAGAUGAGAUAUCCCGUGGGGUAACCCACCUGAAGGCUCCUUGUAGACGACGAGGUUGAUAGGUCGGGUGUAGAAGUGCAGUAAUGCAUGAAGCUAACCGAUACUAAUAAGCCGUGCGGCUUGACCAUA